rfam:Camelus ferus unplaced genomic scaffold scaffold472, whole genome shotgun sequence.
GAGGGUAUAGCUCAGUGUUAGAGUGCAUGCUUAGCAUGCAAGAGGUCCUGGGUUCAAUCCCCCGUAACUCCA